GCGGCCGCCGCGGGAAAUCAGCUUGCGGCGCGCGUCCCUUUGAUCCGGAGACGGGCGCAGUCACGAAGGUAUGGACGAUAUUCACUGUUCAAACGCUGAUUUCACUCUCUCAAGCCAUCUGCUCCUCCUACUUGAUCCUGCCCUGUCAUAAUACUGCAUGUUAUAUCACUGGCAUUUCCUAGGCAACGGAGUGUGAUGGCAUAAAUACAGCAUUAUGAUUUCACAGGAAAAUGAGAAGCUAGAUGGGAAGAGGAAAAAACCUUGGAUGUUGGCUUCACUAACACAGUACAAGCAAAUAAAAACAUGCAAAGGAUUUUUAAAAUAA